GACGAACGCUGGCGGCGUGCUUAACACAUGCAAGUCGAACGGUAAGGCCCUUCGGGGUACACGAGUGGCGAACGAGUGAGUAACACGUGGGUGAUCUGCCCUGCACUUCGGGAUAAGCCUGGGAAACUGGGUCUAAUACCGGAUAGGACCACUGCCUGCAUGGGUGGUGGUGGAAAGCUUUUGCGGUGUGGGAUGGGCCUGCGGCCUAUCAGCUUGUUGGUGGGGUGAUGGCCUACCAAGGCGACGACGGGUAGCCGGCCUGAGAGGGUGACCGGCCACACUGGGACUGGGAUACGGCCCAGACUCCUACGGGAGGCAGCAGUGGGGAAUAUUGCACAAUGGGCGCAAGCCUGAGGCAGCGACGCCGCGUGAGGGAUGACGGCCUUCGGGUUGUAAACCUCUUUCAGCACCGACGAAGCGCAAGUGACGGUAGGUGCAGAAGAAGGACCGGCCAACUACGUGCCAGCAGCCGCAGUAA
rnacentral:rRNA from 1 species